rnacentral:rRNA from 1 species
UACGUAGGUGGCAAGCGUUGUCCGGAUUUACUGGGCGUAAAGGAUGCGUAGGCGGACAUUUAAGUCAAAUGUGAAAUACCCGAGCUUAACUUGGGUGCUGCAUUUGAAACUGGGUGUCUAGAGUGCAGGAGAGGUAAGUGGAAUUCCUAGUGUAGCGGUGAAAUGCGUAGAGAUUAGGAAGAACACCAGUGGCGAAGGCGACUUACUGGACUGUAACUGACGCUGAGGCAUGAAAGCGUGGGGAGCAAACAGG